rnacentral:rRNA from 1 species
UACUCGAGUGGCGAACGGGUGAGUAACACGUGGGUGAUUUGCCCUGCACUUCGAGAUAAGCUUGGGAAACUGGGUCUAAUACCGGAUAGGAGCCAUCUUUAGUGUGGUGGUUGGAAAGUUUUUUCGGUGUAGGAUGAGCUCGCGGCCUAUCAGCUUGUUGGUGGGGUAAUGGCCUACCAAGGCGGCGACGGGUAGCCGGCCUGAGAGGGUGUACGGCCACAUUGGGACUGAGAUACGGCCCAG